rnacentral:sRNA from 1 species
CGGGUGAGUAAACCCGUAA